CUCUAAAUAACUACACGUACUACAUGGUGCCUUCUUCCCCUCCCCUCCAAUUCUCCGCAAUCCAUCCCCACAUGAAAAACAAAUCUAUCCAGAUCUCGCCAACAUGCCCGUGGUCCCUCGCUGCUCAAGAAUUUCCCACACUGCGCCAAGGUUGCUCCUGGUCGGUUGCUGUCAUUAAACAGCUAGCUUCAAAAGCUAGCAGGCAAGCAGGUGGAUGUAUUCCGCCAAAGUCCCACGUAUGAAGCCCGCGCGCACACAGAGCCGACGGCAUGAUGUGUAUGAGAGUUUCGGCGAGAAGCAAACGCACGCACGCGACAACGGAGGACUACAGAUUAAAAUACGCCGGCAUGAAGCACACGUCGGCAUGGUCCUAUUUGAUAUCUCCUAUUGAUCUCACCAUAGAUUAUAUGGGGGUGUUACCUACAUGCAUGUAUAUAUAUUACUAGGCCAAAUCCACUAGGCAUACGAUCCUACAUCAGAUUAACUCUAACAGCCUAUACACUAAAUAAGUACUUAUCUUCAGAAUUUUGUGUUCCUUCACCGGUUAAUCUUUUUGUAUCCCUUUAAUUUUUUAUAUUCAAGUUUA